UGAGGCUGCUGGGCUCAGUUCUAGUCCCGACAGUCGUGAGACUCUCCCAACAGCAAACGUUUGGUCACCUUUAUAUCUGACGUGUUAACACAGUUACACCUAAAGUUAUAUAUACAGUACCAGGGAGACGGCCCAACAGAUCCUUGCUGUGCUCAUGUGAGGGCCAGAGUUCAGAUGGCAGCACAAAUGUAGAAGUUGGGUGUGGCAGCUGGCGUGCCUGUAGCUCAGCCAGCCUCGUCCAGAGCGCCAAGGAUCAAGUGAGAGACUGCGGAUCACACUACAGGGGGACAGCAGUAGGAGCUGGCACUCAGCCUCUGGCCAAGCCGUGUGCAGGCACAGGCCGGUCUGGAAGGUUUACAUGCUGUGUGUGAUGUACAGGCCAGUCUGGAAGGUUUACAUGCUGUGUGUGAUGCAGGGGCCAGUCUGGAAGGUUUACAUGCAGUGUGUGAUGCAGGGGCCAGUCUGGAAGGUUUACAUGCAGUGUGUGAUGCAGGGGCCAGACUGGAAGGUUUACAUGCAGUGUGUGAUGCAGGGGCCGGACUGGAAGGUUUACAUGCAGUGUGUGAUGUACAGGCCAGUCUGGAAGGUUUACAUGCAGUGUGUGAUGUACAGGCCAGUCUGGAAGGUGCAGUGUGUGAUGCAGGGGCCAGUCUGGAAGGUUUACAUGCAGUGUGUGAUGAGGGGCCGGACUGGAAGGUUUACAUGCAGUGUGUGAUGCAGGGGCCAGUCUGGAAGGUUUACAUGCAGUGUGUGAUGCAGGGGCCGGUCUGGAAGGUUCACAUGCUGUGUGUUAUACAUGAUGGUGCUUUGGUGUAUGCUCACCAUGUGGAAUUGCCCAGUCAAACUGCUGAGCAGCGUUUUCCAGACUACAUACAGCUCUUGGAAUCUGUUUCUCAACAUGCAGUACGCAUCUUGUUCCUAACUGAGGUCACGUGUUGUACAGGGAACUCUGCGGUCUGUUCCUUUUGUCUAGGUAAACUCUGUGUUUCUUGACUGACGUCACCAGUCUCACCGCCAUUUACGUGGUGGUCACCGUUCUUUAUAGACAUAAGAACCUGAAGACUUACUUCAUUACCCCAGUGUUCUCCAGGCUCUUUCUUGUGGUCACAAAUAAGGGCUCCUCUUCUCCCCCCCCCUUUUUUUGGGAUAUUGGGGAUGGGACCCAGGUCCUCACACCUGCUAUACACACCGUCUAAACCCGAGCCCUGUCACUGCCCUCAUUCCCAUUUAAGACUAUACUUCUGUGAAGUAUAGCAACAUUUUCUUUAUCCAUUCAUCAUUAGGCACUUAGGUCAAGUCUUAAAUGUUGUCUCAUGUUUUAUCAUUGCCUGAUUUCUUAAUGAUAGUGUUUCAAAUAUCCUUCUUUAACGUCAUAAUUUUUUGUUUUAAUGAGAAAUCAGUUUAUAAGAAAUCUGACUGUUAAAACUCAGAAGUUUGUGCAUUUUUUUAAUGCUAAAUGAGAAGAAAAGCACAAAAGGACAAGGCCUGUCCACUUACAGGGUUCCCAGGCCAGGGAACCCAGGGCUCUGGGGAGGGAGCUGGCUUCCUCAAGUGAUCUGGGCGACUUAAGGCCAUUGACUGUCUGCUUCAAGGCAGUUAAAACCGUAAAUUUUAUAAUGCAUUUCUAGUAUAAUAAAAAGUUAAA